UGAGUAACCUGCCCUUAACUCUGGGAUAAGCCUGGGAAACUGGGUCUAAUACCGGAUAUGACUCCUCAUCGCAUGGGUGGGGGGUGGAAAGCUUUUUGUGGUUUUGGAUGGACUCGCGGCCUAUCAGCUUGUUGGUGAGGUAAUGGCUCACCAAGGCGACGACGGGUAGCCGGCCUGAGGAGGGUGACCCGGCCACACGUGGGACUGAGACAUCGGCCCAGACCUCCGUACGGGGAGCAG
rnacentral:rRNA from 1 species